AAUCAUCCACAUUUAUACCAAAAUUAAAAUCUUCAACUAUAUCUAUAACUAACCAUAUACAACUUCAUCUCCAAAACUUUAUGUACAUGCCAUAUUUCCAAAAUCAAAUUCAUAUAGAAAUUUACAAAAUAUACCCCUAGAUAGUCAAUGAUGUAACUCUGACUGGGUUGAUGCAGAUCUUGAUAAUCUGUUCUGACAGGUAGAAAAUGUGCAGACUUCGUCAAUCUAUCAACAAUCACCCAUACAGCAUCUUUCUUUCUUGGUGUGAGUGGCAGACCAGUGACAAAAUCCAUAGUAACUCGAUCCCAUUUCCAUUCUGGUAUAGAGAUUGGUUGAAGCAAACCAGAAGGUACUUGGUGCUCUGCUUUAUUCAUAUUCUUUUUAUUAUUUAUUUCUUUAUUUUUAUUUUAUUAUCCUUAUUAUUCUUUAUAUUAUAUAUAUAUAUAUAUAGGAUGUUACAAUGUAAUAGUUUUAGAUAAUAUUGUAAAGGAAGCUCGGAAGGAGGAUACUAAAGAAAACCUUCUCGAUUUGUAAUUUCGAACCUCCUUUUUUAGUGAAAGAUGUGUUUGGCUUUUAUUCGUCUUUGUUUUUGAAUUUUCUCCAAUUGCUAACAAGAGUCAGUACUCGGAAUAGGAUGAUAAUAAUUUCAUACCUAAGCUUUAUCAAAAAGAUAUUUUUAAUUUCAAUUAUUAAUAUGACUUAAUACCCAGUUACUUGCCUAGCAGUUACACGAUUUUAGGUAAAAUAAGACGCUUUUUAUUAUAAAUGGGACUAACACUCAGUUUCUCGCUUGGCCAUUUUUCUAUCUUGUGGCUCAGGAAAAAAUGCCUUUAGUAAUUUAAUGGAACUAACACGUAAUCUCUCGUUUGGUGGUUUUUCCGCAUUGUGGUCCAGGCAAAAUGCCUUUAGUAAUUACUAGAACCAACACCCGGUCUCGCUCUUACCGAUUUUCUUGUCUUGUGACCCAGGCAAAAUGCUUUUAAUAAUUAUUGGGACUAACACCCGAUUAUCUUGCCUAGUGGUUUUCCCAACUUGUGGCCUAGGCAAAAUGCCUUUAGUAAUUUAAUGGGAUUAACACCCGGUCUCUUACUUGGCGGUUACUUGCCUUGUGGUAUUAUUUUUUGCAAAAGAUUACUUUAAUCAAUCUUAUUGACUCGCUCUGUUUGGCAACCCAUCGUUCCAUAUGACUAAAUCAAUCACAAUUUAUGAAAAAAGUACCUCGUUAAUUUUAUUGAUAAAACUUUUGUAAGUUACAAAUAUUUCAGGAAUGGGAAAUGACAUGGCCAUCUAGCUUGGCCAACUUAUAAGCAUCGGGACGAAUAACUUUCAAGACCCUAAAUGCUCCUUUCCUAUUUUUAUACAACUUAUCGGACUCGGUAUCUCCACCUGUUACAUCAGAUCGCCUAAGGACUAAGUCCCCUAUGUUAAAGACUUAGGGUUUGACUAGAGAAUUAAAUAUCUGUGACAUUUUAUUUGUGUACACAACCAUUUUGAUUAGAGCUUUUUCUCUUAGAUAUUCGGCCUGAUUGAGAUUGAACUGCAUUUCUUCUGGGUCUCCUGAUGAAUAGGGGUGUUGGGUCCUGAAGCUGCUCACCUAGACCUCCACAGGAAUGACUACCUCGACCAUAUAUACUAGUGAGAACGGGGUUUCUCUUGUUGCUGUCCUUGAAGUUGUUCUGUAUGCCCAAAGAAUAUGAGGCAAUUCCUCUAGCCACCUACCUUUGGCCUAGUCAAGUAUUUUCUUCAACCCUUGGAGAAUUGUCCUAUUUGUAACCUUUGUCAUACCAUUAGUCUGUGGGUGGUAUGCUGAGCUAAACCGUAGAUUAAUGUCCCAUUUUCUAUAAAAUUCUUUAAAUUUGAAAUUUGUGAAUUGCAUCACAUUAUUAGUUAUAAUAACUUUCGGAAUAUCAAAGCAAGUAAAAAUAUUUUUGCUGAUGAAGGAAAUAGUUUGCUGAGUUGUAAUGGAUUGGACUGCUUCUGCCUCUGCCUACUUAUUGAAGUGCAUAAUGAUCACAUAUUUUCUUAACCCCAUCGACUUUUGGGAAUGGGCUAAGGAUGUCCAGCCCCACCUGAGAGAAAGGCCAAGGGCUACCAAUUUUCGCUUGCAUUUCUCCUAGUAUUCGAGGUAUGCUAGCAUAGACCUGACAUCUUUGACUCUUUGGACCAGCUCCUUUGCAUCAUGCAUCACGUGGGCCAAUAGUAACCCUACCUAAAAGCUUUUUGGACAAUCUUCCUGGCCCCUUCAUAGCUUCCACAGUCACCUUCAUGAAUAUCCUUGAAGAUGCUUUUAUCGUCAUCUUUCGUUACACACGACAGCCAUGGUUGGGUUGAGAACUGCCUAUACAACCAACCAUUUAUUAGUGCAUACCUAGAAAAUUUUCUUAUUACCUGUUUGGCUGCUAAGCUGUCUGCAGGUAUCUCAUCCUCUGUUAGGAAUUUAUAUAUUAGAGUCAUCCACGUAUUUGCUAUCUCGAUUGGUAGGGACUCUUCUUCUUCGCUCACUAGGUUAUGCAGCACUUCAAAUGAUAUUGGCUGAGUUAAGUGUUGCUUUCUGGCCACUGUCCUUUUUGCUAGAAAAUCAGCUUCCUCAUUCUUCCCUCUUACUACCUGGUGAAGUUCACAAUCACCCUGCAUUCCUUUGAUUUGUGUCAUUAGUGCCUGAACCUUCUCUUCAUACUUAGCCAGGCUCGAGUCGCGAACCUUGAAGUGACCAUGACACUAAUUAAAAACUAACUAUGAUUUGCUAUAAAUAAAUGAUUUUUGCAUACCUAUCUUUUUAAUGUUUUUUAGCACCAUGAUCACUACCUUAUACUCGGUCACGUUGUUCGUAGCUUUGAAAGCAAGUUUUGCUGCAUAUCGUAAUUUGAUCCCUGCUUGACUUUGUAACAGUAUACCAAUUCCAGAUCCCCCAACUCCAUAGGCUCCAUUUGCCUAUACUUGCCACUCUUCUAUAGUAGGCUCAACAAUCUCGAUAGGUGGAGUCAUCUCUGCGAUAAAGUCAACUAAGGCCUAGGCGUUCAUUGCACUUCUUGGAGCAUACUUGAUAUCAUAAGCUGACAAUAUGAUAGACCAGGUGGAAAGCUGCCUCAAGAGCUUCGGCUUGUGAACUACCUUAUGUAGUGGGUAAUUGGUCCUUACCUCAAUGUGUGGAUUCAAAGUAGGGCUGCAAUUUUGCUUCUGACACCUUUUCGAGAGGUGGGUAAUUUAACUUUACCCCUUUUAGGAACUGGUUGAUAUAAUAGACUGGGCUCUAUUCCCCCUCGUCCUCUCUUACUAGCAUUGAACUUAUUAUUUUUUGCAUCACAGACAAAUAUAAAUACAAAACCUCACCUUCUAUGGGCAAGGUUAGCAAAGAAGGAAAAGAUAAAAAGGUUUUCAAAUUUGAAAAUACCUCAACACACUCUUCACCCCAAACAAGUUUGAUUUUCCCUUUUAAUGCUUUAAAGAACGGGAGACACCUCUUGGCAGAAUAUGAGAUGAACCGCCCUAGAGUUGUCACUCGCCCAUUUAACUUUUAGAUAUCAUUAAUGCAUUUUGGUACUUCCAUGUCUUGUAUUGCUUUCAUUUUUUGAAGGUUAGCUGCUAUGCCCUUUUAGAGACUAUAUAUCCUAGGAAUUUUUCAGCUUUUACCUCAAAAUUACCUUUCUCAAGAUUCAACUUCAUAUCGAUUUUUUUUCCAAUAUGUCAAAGACCUGUUGAAUGUCACUUGAGUGGUCUUCCAAGGCGUGGCUUUUUACCACCAUGUCGUCCACGUAAACUUCCAUCUUGGUCCCAAUCAAGUCCUUGAUGAUCCCGAACACAAGCUUCUGAUAUGUUGCACCUAUAUUCUUCAAAUUGAAGCGCAUUACCUCGUAACAAAGACUCCUUCAUCUGUGAUGAUUGUGGUCUUCUCUACAUCCUCAGGAUCCAUAAAGAUAUAGUGAUAUCCUAAAAUUGCAUUGAGAAAGGAAACUAUUGCAUGGCUUGAGGUAGAAUCCACUAACCUAUCGAUGGACGGGAGAGAGUAAUGGUCCUUCGGGCAUGCUAUAUUUAGAUAAGUGAAGUCUAUGCACAUCCUCUACUUUCCGUUUUAUUUUUUAACCAAUACCACAUUGGCGAGCCAUGUGGGGUAUUGGAUUUCUUUUAUUAAACUUGCACUUAAGAGUUUUUUUUUUAAUCACCUGCUGCCUUUCUGGCCCAAAUUUCCAUUUCUUUUGCUAGACCAGUUUAGUUGGGUCAUUUGUGCUAAACUUGAGAGUAAUUAUGGCUGAAUCUACACUUGCUACGUCUUCUGGAUGCCAUGAAAAAGUUUUUAUUUUAUGUUUUAAAGGUUUAACUAACUCUUCUUUACUAUAUUAUUUAAUGCAGUUGCAAGACAUAUCUUUUUAUCUGUUUCGAGAAGGACCUUCUCUACGGUAUCUGCUGACUCAAGCUUUAUAUGAGAAUCUGGCAUCUCUAGUAGAUCAAUUGGCAUCAUUGCCUUAUUGACGCUUUUGGUAGAGUGUCUAUAGCACUCUUGAGACAACUUUUGACUGCUUCAGAUUAUUGGCAAUCCUCCUAGGGUUAGCAACUUUAGACAAAGAGAACCCAUGUUAAUUACAAUCCCAUGACAAUUUAGGACUGGGCAUUCAAGUAUAAUAGUGUAUGCUAGUAGAAUGUCUACCAUUGUAAACUUUGCUUACACCUCUCGCUUGUGCUUCUUGUCCCUUACCACAAGAGGAAGGUUAACGGUUCCUAGCACUGUCACAGUCUUAUCUCCUAAUCCCACCAAUGGAUAGGAGACUUUCAUCAAUUUAGUUUUAUCUAAGCUUAGUUUACUAUAUACAUCAAGAAUGAGGAGGUUGACAGAACUACCUGUAUCCAUAAGGAAUCGUCUUACAUCAUACUUGUUCAAUCUUACGCUUACCACCAAUGGGUCAUUGUGUAGUGCCUCGGUCACUCUGUCACUUGGUCCAAACUUUACCUCCUGCCUUGUCCAUUGUUCUUAUUCCAUAGAUAGGACAUCUUCGAGGGCACGUUUGUUUUUCUCUUUACAGUCGCUUAUUCCUCCUGCAAUCACAUGAAUGACCCCUACAGGUUCAUUUUCAUUAGAAUUCUCUAGUAUCCUUACCUCAAGUUCUGGCCUCCUAUCUUCUCUGUCUUUCCUGGAAAAUCUGCAAAGUAUGCCAUCCCUGAUAAGCCUUUCGAUUUCAUCUUUUAGCUGUCUGUAUUCCUCUAUCGUGUGCCCAUGAUCCUCACAGAAUCGGUAAUAUUUUGUCCUGUCCUGCUUGCUUGCCUUAUUUGAGUUGAGUUCUGUGGGCCAUCUGACUUCUUUAUCACUCUUCUUGAUCCACACGAGUAUGUGUGUUCUUGAGUUAUUUAAAAGUGUAUAAUUUUUAAACUUACCUUGGUUGUCUCUCCCACAUGACAUGGGGUAACUCUUUUUAUCACCUUCAUAGCCUUGCCUUUCCGUUUUCUAGGUUUUGCUUUGGCCCAACUUCUUAUCUUUUCUCAACACCUAGAUUUCAUCACCCAACUGUAUUACUUUUGAGCUUCAUCCAUUAGCUGCUGAUAGGUGGCCACUAGGUUCUUAAUGAGGGAGUCUAUGAACUUUAUAUUCUGAGUUACUUUUUUUUCAAAGCUUCAUAGGCUAUUUCAUGAUUUAAGUCUUCUAUCAAUAUAGCUUCAGCAUUGAAACGUGAAAUAAAGCUCCUUAAAGACUCACUCUCACCUUAUCGGAUUUUCCAGAGGUCAGAAGAAAGUUUCUUUGGAGGUAUACAAGUGAUAAACUUAGUCUUAAAAAGUACAUCAAAUUGAGUAAAAUUAUUAAUCGAACCUAGACUUAGGUGUUGGUACCAUUCUUGGGCCAAACAUGUUAAUGUGGAUGGGAAGAUUCAACAUAGAAUGAAGUCAUUGACAACUUGAAGCUGCAUUGUAGUCCUGAAGGUUACCAAAUGGCUCCUAGAUUCGAUGUCCCAUUAUAUUUGUCCAAACUAGGCAGUUUGAAAUAUGGAGGAAAGAUUUAUGCUAGGACCUCCUCGGAUAAUGGUGAAGCAUUGUCCAGGCCAUAAUCUUUCUCAUGCUCUUUCUAGUACCUCUGGACUGCACGUACCAGUUUCUAGUCUACGUCCUUGGGAUUUUCAUCUGAUGACUCCUUGUCCUCAACCUUAGCCUUACAUUUACAUUGAGUUUGAAGCAUUUCCUUUUGAGUCCUCGGUGCGUGAGAGGAAGUCUCUUCUCUCACCCUACGAGCCCUAAAGAAAGCCUCCUCCCAAGCUUUAUAUUGCUCCAGGGUUGUCUAUAACCUUUUGAUAUACUGCAUCAUCUGUUCAUUAUUUAGGUUGUUUAGAUUCACCUCUGCAACUACAGAGGGAAUGUUUUGUCCACUUCCUAGUGUGGAAGAGACGAUCGAUGGCUCUUUUGUUGGCGACAGAUUUGGUCACUGCUCAUUGGUUUUUAGCCAUUUGAAAAUGGGUUAAAUAUGAAGCUUGGAAAGAGAAAAAUAAGAAAGCUGAAUGAGCUAGAUUUUAUUCCAAGUGAUUAAAAAAAUUCAAUGGGAUCCUGAUAAUGGAACCAAAUAAUAUUGCCGAAAGUGCUCUCCAUAUGAUCUGACAAUCUAUAGAAAAGAGAGGUGAGGUGACUGGUGUCUAGAGGUAACUACUUCGAUACUCAAGUCAAUAAAUUGCUUAAUUGGGCGAGUGAAUUGAUAAGCAAAAGUAAUACAAGUGAGUAAUAGAAUAUGUACCUUGAACCAAUAUUCUGAUUGGCUUUUAUACUGUAAGAAGACUAGGUUAGUUAGUGAUUUUUCCUAAGAAUUCGGGUCAUAUCGGAUAUUGGAUACAGAAUUCCGUGAUAAUUGGAAUCCUAAGGAUUGAACUGCAAUAACCUUCAACGAUAAUAAACAGAACCCAUAAAAGCUCUGCCAACUCUCUUGGACGAGUAUUCAUUGAAAUCAGACAUUCUACAUGUGGUUGCCUUAACUCCACGUCUUCAAGUGGUCAAACCUAGAUGUCUGAAUAUCUUAAUUUAUAAGGAUAUCACCACGUGAACUAAUAAAAAAAUUAAUAUCAUGUAAAUAUAUUUUGAGUAAAUAUUUAGUCAUAUUACUUUUUUUUAUUAAUAGAAAUGCUAAUUCGAUGGCUUAUAGGUUGUCUAGGAGAUUCUUGAAAAACUUUAAUUUCAGAUGUAAUAGUGGUUUUCAAAACCGUUUUGUACGCCAUCUGCCUCUUUGAGGCUUUGCAAUACAAUCCACCUUUCAAAAGGAAAAAAAAAAAAAAUUUUAUUAAUUUUUAUUUAGAAGGGAGUAAAAUAGAAAAGAAAAAGAAAAGUAAAAUAGAAGAUACAAGGCGUGGGAAAAAGAAAACACGUGGUGGACUGAGAAUGAAUCCUCACUUACUGGUUGGAUGAUUUAGACCCCCUGAAGCAUAAGGGCCAAAAGAGCCCCCUUUGAGAAGUGAAAAGGCCGUAUUUAAAUUUUUGUUUAAAAUUUUAAUACUACUAAAUCUCCUUAAAAAAAUUUAAACUGUUGAAAAAUUAAUGCAAAAAUUACUUAAAUCACAUAAAUAAAUAAAUUUAACUUAAAAAUUUUAAUAAUUAAUUUAUAAGUAAAUUUAAUUCAAUUUAAAUGAGAAUUCAUCCUUUUUAUAUUUUUUUGAAGUGAGAUUGAAGGUAGAGAUACAGCAUAAGAACUCGAUAGGUUUAUAAUAGCCGGUUGAAUUUAGUCCUCAUCAAUUGUCAAUUAGUCAUUCCUAUAAAAUUUUAAAAAUAAGUUGAGUAGUAGCUGGAAAAGACAUUAAUAUAUCCGAGGUGACAUUUCAUAAUAAUUAUAUGUAAAUUAUAAAAAAUUAAUACGGCUCUUUUAAUACUAUUAUUUUAUACUAAUUUCUAUCUAUUUCAUUUUCAAGAAAUUUUAUAUUGAAAAAAUUAUAUUUUAGUCCCUAUUCGAUUGUGUGAAUAUAAUUUAAUUUCAGUUUUAUUAAGAAUACUGAUAACCGUCGGGCUUCCUCUACUCUGGGCGGGGCCAAGCCCAAGAGGAGAACAAUGACCCAAAACCCAUCAAGCCCUCCUUAAGCAAGACCGAUCCAGCCUCUCAAGCCCCAAUCCGGAUGCGCAGGGUAAGCUGGGACCACUAUGAGGCCGGGUCCACCAUGAGCCCGGGUUCAAUGAGAAGAAAUUCAGCCCAGUGAGAUGAUGUGAGAAAGAAUAGCCGGCCCAGUCACUUUGCAACCGUGUCCGCGUGCGUGCCAGGGAUAAGUAAAAAGGACAGGGGAUCUUCUUCCAGAGGGGGCUCUCUUCUCUUUUUUUCCUCUUCUUCCUGGUCUCCAUUUUUAUUUUCUCUCUGCAACUCUUGCCCAAAUAUACUACUCUAAUUCAUAAAAUCUGACUUGAACGUCGGAGGGUCUCCACCGGGGUAUCCCCGGUAGACCCCUGACCAUUUUUCCUUAUUUUGCAGGUCCUUUCAUCAAAUAUAACAUUGAGAAACUCAUUUGAUGGACCCAUAUAAUGGACCAAGAAGAAAACCAUAUCUAUCAUGGAGCCGGAGGAGAAAAAUAUUUAUCAAUUGGCGCCGUCUGUAGGAAAACGAAAGAGAUUUUACUAUCUCUAAAGUUUCCAGAUCCACAUAAGGUACGAAAGUUUGAGCGAAUAACCCAGCUGAAAAGAAAGGUUCAUUGUGUUAAAGAAUAUCUUGAUAGCAUUUCAGAUAGUUUGUUUUAAUAUUUAUUAGAUUUUAUUACGGUUGAUUUUUUCCUUGAAACCUGGUGAAGCAAAAUUUCAUAUCAAAGUACUUGUCUAUGAGUAUAAAUUUUAAUCUUUUCUGUAAAAGGAAAAAAGAAUGAGUGAUGUAUAUAUAUGUUGAAAUUGUAAGAUCGGCCAUAUAUAUGUUGUAAAGGUCAGAGGUGCAGGUCGGCUACUGAGUCCCAAGUUAGUAAAUUAGAGAUAAAAUUAAUAAACAAAAUAAAAAAAAGGGGGGAGGGGAAGAUCUACGAGGAAAAAUAAAGCAGCUUGGAUAGAUUGGGCAGCUCUUUGACUGGACAACAAAUAAAGGGGGUCGAAUUGAAAAAGUAAGUCAGCAAGGUUGAGACAGACAACCAAUCACUGACAUAUCGAUGGAAGACCUCAAGAUAAAUGUCGAUGGAAGAGCUCGGUCGGGUCCUCCUUGAUAAGUUAGUAGAAGAACCGACCUAGCCGCCCUUGGGAAGUUGGUGGAAGAGCUCCGGCUAAAGAUUGAUGGAAGAGCUCCCGCUGGUCCCCUUCAAGAGGUCGGUGAAAGAGCUCAGGCUAGUCACUUUCGAAAGAUAGGUGAAAGGAAUCAAGCAGGACGACCUCGAUGAACUAACAGAGCAAGUUAGGUCGACUGGUUCACGAGCUCAACUAGAACAAGUCCCAAUUAAUCGAGGUCGACAACAUAUACCCCAACUGAGGUCGAAGGCAGGACUAGCUCUUGAAGAACCAAACAUUAGAGUGCAACUUGGAAAAUUUGGGCAAGGUCGAUGAUGGAGAAUCCAAAAAGCCAAGUCGAGUCUUAGAAAGAGAUUAGUUGAGGUCGGCUAACCAUGUUAGAGGGCUCCAAAAGCACGUAAAGCCAUGAAUUACACAGAACUGGUCACGCAUGGCCUCAGGAAGAGGACAACAGAUUGAGCGAUUCCAGUGAAGCUGGAAGGCUGCAGUGGGACAAAACUACAGAAGAUCACGAGUGAGGAGCCCGGACUACAGCAGGUCGGCCAAAUACCAAAAUUAUCAAUUUUCAAGAUUGAGUUCGAUGGGAUUGGAGUAAAGUGAUGCAUCAACACAAUUCAUGCAAAAGUGGUCGACGUGGCUCUUAAUUACUGAGAGGUAAGUACCCAAAUUCUUUACAAAUAUUACAACAAUGCCAUUAUAAAUGAUUUUCUAAAAUUAGCUUACACACGAUCCACUCCUACUGCAAGUAAUUAAUUACUAUCCAUCAUCACAAUUGGACAAACUCCUACUGCAGGCAAUUAAUUAUUAAUCAUCAUCACAACCAGACAAACUUCAAAAUCAAGAGUCUUUUACACUACUUCCAUUUUAUUUAUCGCUUUGCAGUUAUUAUUGAUUACAGAAUUAUAAAGUGUAAAUAAUACUUAUACUUUUCACAAUAUUUUACAUGUUCAAGCAUAAUAUUUUAUAAAUUGAAAAUUAAAACAUAAAGUUAAGUGUCUUACAUGACAUAUUAUUUAUUGAUAAAUAUUAUUGAAUUAACAACGAGCAAUGCAUCCUCGUUAUAUACGCUAUGUGCAAGCUCUUAUUUUGCAGAAAAAUCCUGAAUCUCGUUCAAGACUUCAGGCAGGCACAAGACUGGGAUCCCCAAGAUCUCCCAGAUACAAGACCGGGAUCCCUAAGAUCUUCCGGAUACAAGACCGGGAUCCCCAAGAUCUCCCGGAUACAAGACCGGGAUCCCCAAGAUCUCCCGGAUACAAGACCGGGAUCCCCAAGAUCUCCCGGAUAUAAGACUGGGAUCCCAAUAUCUCCCGGAUAUAAGACCGGAAUCCCCAAGAUCUCUCGGAUACAAGACCGGGAUCCCCAAGAUCUCCCGACACCACAAGACCGAGAUUCCCAAGAUCUCUCGGAUACAAGACCGAGAUCCCCAAGAUCUCCCAGAUACAAGACCGGGAUCCCUAAGAUCUCUCGGAUACAAGACCGGGAUCCCCAAGAUCUCCCAGCACCACAAAACCGAGCUGAGAGGAUGAAGGGAAUUAUUCUUUCGCUUUUAUUAAUAAAAAAUACUGUAUGCUCACAGCAAACAGCGGCAUACGGUGACAACACGCAAAAACAACUCAUAAGAACACAGCUCCGAUCUCACACAAAAGAUUGGGGCCCUGGACCAUAAACGAAAAGCUAAACUCUGACCUCCCAAAGGAGCUCGGGUCCUAAGGUAAAGAGACUCCGAUCUCACACAACGGCGCCAAAGCGCCAAAGCACGAUGCCGAUAUCAAGAAAAUUAGCUCAGUACUGAUAAAUCCAAUAAGCAGACUAAAAUAAGGCGAGGCGAAUCCUAAGAAAAAUGCAUACCAAGAUAGAGAACCAAACAAAGAACCAGGGGCAAUCAUAAGAGGCACCAACCUCGAGAAUUAACUGCUGGCACUAAACUAGCUCAGCUGGCCUAUAGAGAGGUCUAGGCAGCAAAGAGCCCGCAAAACGCUCGAGGGCAGACAGCCCAUAAAACACUCAGGGGCAGUAGGAAGCCCUGACUCAUUAGGAUACAAAAGAAUCGAACCGCAGUAUGGUCAAGUCCAAAACAGAUAGUCCGACCUCUUCAAUCCGGGGUCGAUCUCCCCAGAAGCUUGGAGGGGCCCCAUGUCUGUACCGACAGGGCUAUAAGUCUAUAAAAGAAAAGUUAAAGCCUAACGAACAGUCAGUCAGACUCAAACAUAGCCUUUAUAAGGCUUGACGAGAAAGUAAGAAAUUAAGUCCGAUUUCAUAAAAGAGCUCGGGGCACCAAAGAAAAGAAAAUGAAAUCCCGAACUCUCGAGCUCAUAACACAAGCAGCAUCACGGGUAAUAGGCAUAAAAACCUAAGCAAAGAACAAAAAUUCGAGCUCCCAGACUCGUAGAAAGUAAACAAUCAAGCUGAAUAAAGCUAAGUACAGAAGAAACAACAGAAAGCCGAGCUCCCUAUAUGAAAAGGCCUACCAAUGCGAAACGCACAAAGGGAUAAACGAAAGCGAAGGGUCGUGUUCACAGCUCGGAUUAGCCCACAGUAAACAAAAGGCCAAGCUCCAUAUCCUAGUAGAGCACACAGCUCAGACCGCACGAAUCGCCAAAAGGUUACAUCCAGAGGGAUAAGACGUCUGAGCUCGUAGCACUGACGAGGUCAUGAGCCAAAAAUAGAAAUGCCCUCAUGAGAAUAAGGAAAACUCGCAAGUCAGAAGCUUAACCAGACUCCGAGCUCUUAGCCCGGGUCAGUUCGACUAGCAAAGUCUCAAUAGAGUCGGCCUGGUCCAUCAAGUAAGUAAAAUUGAUAAAGUCAGAAGACAGUCUGAGUAGAAAAUAAUGAUGAGGCACAGGCCGAGGUGAAAUAUCAUUCAUCAUCAAAUACACCUCUCCAGAUCGCCAUAUAUUCAAACAUCAAAGCAAGAAGACAAAGAAAUAAAAAGGCAAGGAAAUGACGUUUUUGACGAGAGUAAUUCUCGGGCCGCUCGGUCACAAAUGAAGUCUAGGGAUUUACCCCCUCACCACUCAUGUAAUAAAUGCUGAGGAGGUAAAGGGGCAAUUGAUGACCGUCGGGCUUCCUCUACUCUGGGCAGGGCCAGGCCCAAGAGGAGAACAAUGACCCAAAACCCAUCAAGCCCUCCUUAAGCAAGACCGAUCCAGCCUCUCAAGCCUCGAUCCAGAUGCGCAGGGUAAGCUGGGACCACUAUGAGGCCAGGUCCACCAUGAGCCCGGGUUCAAUGAAAAGAAAUCCAGCCCAGUGAGAUGAUGUGAGAAAGUAUAGCCGGCCCAGUCACUUUACAACCGGGUUCGCGUGCGUGCCAGGGGUAGGUAAAAAGGACAGGGGAUCUUCUUCCAGAGGGGACUCUCUUCUCUUUUUUUUCCUCUCCUUCCUGGUCUCCAUUUUUAUUUUCUCUCUGCAACUCUUGCCUAAACAUACUAUUCUAAUUCAUAAAAUCUGACUUAAACGUCGGAGGGUCUCCACCGGGGUAUCCCCAGUAGACCCCUGACUAUUUUUUCUUAUUUUGCAGGUUCUUUCAUCAAAUAGAAUAUUGAUUGACCCAUUUGAUGGACCCAUAUGAUGGAUCAAGAAGAAAACCAGAUCUAUCAUGGAGUCGGAGGAGAAAAAGAUUUAUCAAAUACCUUUAGUUAUAAAAAACUAAAAUGAUUUUUUUUGUUAUUUUUCAAAGGCUAAUCAAAUUUAGAAGUGAGCUUUAUUAAUUGAAAUUAAAAUUUUAACUAAUUUUAAAAUUAUUGAUUCAAAUAAAUUUAAAUAGGGAUAAAUAAAUCUAAUGGAAAUUAAAAUAUUAAUUGAUUAAUCGUAAUUGAGUUAACAAGCCUAUAAUGUUUUUUUUGAGAUAUAUUAAUUAAAUACUAAUAAAAAUAUUUUUAUUUGAAAAUAACCUAUAAUUAAAUAGUACUAAUAAAUACCAAACUUGACUUUGUACUUGACUUUUUGCCACGUUGAUGGUGAAAUAAUGAAUCUCUAUAUCUUCAAUCCAAAAGAUUUAUGAGAAUAAUUAAUUUGCAUUACUUUGAUUUGAUUAUUAUAAUUAUGUUUAAAUAAAAUAUUUUUAAUAAAAGUCAUUUAAAAUUAAUAUAUUUAUUAUUUUAAUUAAAUUACAAAUUUUAUUAUAAUAUUUACUUUAUUCAUUAUUUUUUUGACCAAAAUAAGUUUAUUAUAUUAAUAAAAAUAACUGCUCUUUAAUAUAUAAAAACAAGCUAUUUAAUGCAUUUAAUAUUAUUAAUAUGUUUUAUAGAAAAUAUUUUUAAAAUUUUUAAUAUUUGAACUAUUAAAAAAUUAAGUUCAUGAAAAAUAUUUUUUAAUUAAAAAAAUUAAAAUUUUCUAUUUUGAAAAAUUAAAUUAUUUUUCUUUAAAAUUUCGUUUUAUUGGUGGGAAUACUUUCUCUAAAAGAUAUUUUUUAAUAAAAUAAUUUAUUUUUAAUGUAAAAAUAAAAUAUAUUAAUACGUUUUUAUAUACAGAGAUAUUAAUAAUAUUUUUUAAAUAUUUUUUUAACUAAAAAAUAUUUUUGAAUGCUUUAAAUAUUAUGAAAUAUAAAAAAUAUUUUAAUUAUAUUUUUUUUUUGAAUUAAACGGAGCUUUAGAAUUAAAUAAUUAAAAUAAUAUUUAUUGAAUAAAAAGAUAUUUAUAAAUUAUUACAUUAAAAAAAUAGUUUAUAUUUUUUUGCCAAAAAAUAUAUAAUUUCUCAGAAAUAGAGCAAUGAGGGAUGAAAAUAAUGGAAAAGUCGAAAAGCUUCGCCUGGUUUUUAUUUGGCUUUUUGCGGGAAGAGAAAACUUACAAGCAACCCAAUCUCUGUUUGUCUUUCUCUAGAUUUUUGCUCGAGUCUCAGAAGUGCAAGCUACAUACAGAAGAUUAUAGAGUUUACUUCCUAUCCAAAAUUUGAUGACACUUCUCUCUGCUAAUUGAAGGUAACAAACCUCUGCAAGUUCUAUUUUCUGUUUCUCUUGUUUGAUCUGUUUGGUAAAGCUUCCCUCUUGAUGAUUUUUGUAAGUUCAUAGACCAUGGUUUUUAUCUUAUUUUAAUUUUCAAGAAAUUCUUAUAAUUAUUUUUAUUUAGUGUUUUGUUUUUUAAAAUUCAAUUUCUUGCUUUUAGCUUUUGUUUGGUUACCUUGGAAAGUGAAGGAAAUUAUUGAAGAAACUUUGGUGGUUACGAAUUUAUUAGAUUCGUGGUUAAAGAACCAAAACGGCAAGCAUCAUGUAGUCCAUAGACAAGGAUAAACACUAGUUUUUGAGUUGCACGGCUAAUUUACUUGUUUUAAUGCCUCAAAAAUGAAUGUUAUAAAUGGAUCCAAAGCUUCAGGUGGAUCAUACACACAUACACACACACACACACACACACACACACAUACAUAUAUAUUAAACUUAAAAAGUUGGGAGAAGGAACCAGGGGAAGUAAAGAGCAAGAAGGAGAAUUCCUAAUCUCUUACUGGGGUAUCACUUGAGAGAAUAUACGGGGUAAGAGUAGGAAAAAAAGGCAGAACAGAGAUGCAUGCAGCUCUUAAUUUGCUUUAUAGUGUAUUUAAUGUGAUGUUUUUGCCAUUUUUAUUUUUAUAGUAUUUAAACCUAAAUAACAUGGGUGUCAUUUGAAUUUCUUUACAAUACCUCUACUUUGUAUUUUUUUUUUUUCAAAUUUCCUGAAUGGCAAUAGUGUCGUUUGGGUUUCUUCCUGUAACUCUAAAUCCACAAACCCAACUACUAAGUAUCGAUGGGAUCAGCGAUUCGUAUGGAUUCACACUAUUUCUCAACAAAGUCAUUUGAUUGGUAUGAAAUUAUUGUCUGUUUUUCGUUCAUUAUGUAGAUUCCAACCACCUUAGAAGGGACAAGGGUCAUAAAAUUUGCCAAUCAUGUGAUCUUGA
rnacentral:lncRNA from 1 species